rnacentral:rRNA from 1 species
AUGGACAAACUCCAAUGGCUGUGCUUGCCAUGCCUCCUGGUCUUUGCCCCCUUCUUCCUCUUUGGGAGUACGUCGGCUGCCCACCACCACCAGCGAGACGUCCUCCACCCGGUGGUGCUGCUGCCAGGCUUCUCCUGCGGCCAGAUCGAGGCCCGCCUCACCGACGCCUACGACUCGCCGUCGCCGCUCUGCGGCCUGCGCAAGGGGGACGGCCGGUGGUUCCGGCUGUGGAAGAACAGCACGGGCCUGCAAGACCUCCCCAACAUGGCCUGCUUCGCCGACCAGCUCCGCCUGGUUUAUGACCCCACGGCCGGCGACUACCGCAAUGUGCCCGGCGUCGUGACCCGUGUCCUCUCGUUCGGCUCCGCCCGCGGCUUCCUCUCCGACGACCCUGCCGACAAGGAGAACUGCAUGGGAAGGUUCGUGGAGGCGUUGGAGCGAGUCGGAUACAGCGACGGCGAGAGCCUCUUUGGCGCUCCGUACGACCUCCGGCACGCGCCUGCCGCGCCGGAGCUGCCCAACAGGGAGUUCUCCAUGUUCCGCCGGAGUCUGACGGCGCUCGUGGAGCACGCGAGCAGGAGGAACGGGGGCAAGCCGGUCAUCCUCGUGUCGCACAGCCAGGGCGGCCUGCUCGCGCUCGAGUUCCUCAACCGGAGCCCCCUGGCGUGGCGCCGGAGGCUCGUCAAGCACUUCGUCAUGGCCUCCAGGGGCGCCGGCGGGAUCGUGGUCACCAUGAAGGGCCUCGCCGCCAGCGACGGCGGCGGCGUCCUGUCGAUGCGGCGCGUCAAGAGGAGCUUCGAGUCCGCGUUCGUCGGGCUGCCGUCGCCCGCGGUCUUCGGCGGCGAGACGCCCCUGGUCGUGACGCGGGACAGGAACUACACCGCGCGCGACAUGCCGGAGUUCCUGUCGGCGGCCGGGCUGCCGGCGCCCGCCGUGAAACUAUGA